GAGAGAAAGAAGAGAGAGAAAGAAAAAAGAAAAAAAAAUAGGAAAAAGGAAGAAACCCAAUAAAAGUGUAGGAAAUUGAAGGAAUUUAAGAAUUUUUCCACGGCAAAACUCUACCUAAAUUGUGAGAAAACGAGAGAGGAAGGAAGAAGGAAAGGAAAAAACUAAAGAAAGAAGAGCAAAGGAAAGUAAAAACUCACGAUCAAUCAUGGGAGAACCCGCGAGCUUAAGGCUAGAUAUUUCUCAAAAUAAUUCUAGAACUCUGCCAUAUAUUUGAGAGAAAAAGCUUAAAAAUUAAGUCGAGACUUUGCCGGAGUUAAAGCAGCAUAUCCUACAAGGUAUGUAGUUUCAAGUUUCUUUUCAAGAAAAUCAAUUUACAUAUUAUGACGAUAUUUUUUAUUGUAAAAUAGUGACAAUUCUAAGGAAUCAGAUGCUGCCACAAUUUCACUAGAAAUUUGAGAAAAAUAUAAAGGGAGACUUUGCUCGAGUGAAAAGAGAAAAUUGAAGUAUUUUUAAGGAAAGACUCUGACAGAGUGACUAGAAAAAAUUCAAGAAAAUAUAGGGAGAGACUCUAUCAGAAUAAAAAAAGCUUAAAUUGAUUGCAUCAGACUCGAUGUAAGUGGGUAUUGUGAUUGCAUAGCCUAUGUAGUUUUCAAAAUAUUUUAAAAGUAUUUUUAGUAUAGUAAAUGGAUCUUGUGAUUACAUGGCCUAAGUAGUUUUGAAGUGUUUCAUCAGUGUUUUAUACAUAUUAUAUAUAUAUAAUGCAAAUAUUUUGUAAAAGUGCUAUUAUAUUUUGAGUGUUAUUUUAUCCAUGUAUUUUGAAACGUAAUUUUGAUAAUUAUGCAUCACUCAUUAUCGAGGGGAGCUAUUCCAAAAGCACUUGCGUGAUGCUAGACUUCAAUGUGCCUCUACAUAACCGUUUUGUUUUUGGGUAUAGUGAGAAAUUGAUAAGUGUGAACCCAUAAGUAAUCGUUCUAUUUUUUUGUGUAUGAAAAAGUGUUAAGUGUUAAAUGUACGCCUAAGCAUGCAUGACAGUAGGAAGAUGUGAAUGGCCCUCCAUAACGGUGAUGAAGUAGAGCUCAUUGUACAAUGUAGCGAAGUGCAUCUGUUUUCUGAUUCUGGGAUAUGUGGUUCGUUAUACAAUAUAGCGCACUGUACCUGCUAAGUGAUCUAGUACAUGUGAGAGUGUAGCGCAUUGUACAAUGCAGCAAUGUGUUUUCUAAAUUGUGAUUCUAAUUUUAGUUUUUUACUAUGCAUCUGUUUUUACUAAAAGUGAAUAUGUUUUUGAGAAAGUGUAAAAGAUAUCUUGUUUUGAUGUGUGUGAAAUAUAUAUAUUGCAUGUAUUAGUUGUGUGUAAUAAUAUCUACUUAUUAUGAUAAUAUCUCACUCCCUCAUUAUUUUCAGAUAAUGAGGAUUUUGCUGCAGAAUAGUAUGUGAUACGAAAGAGAAAUUGAGAACUUAGAGAUCAGAUUACCAGUUUGUACUUUUAUAUUGUAAGAAAAGAAAAAAAAAUUAAAUUUUCAUAUUAUAUUGUAGCUGAUGUUCAUUAUUCAAGGGAUGUAGCGCUUGUGCAUACUCUGGCUAUUAAUGAAAGUUAGUUUUUAUUAUUUAAUUAAGGGUAAAGUAUAAGUGUGCUCUAGACAUGCCCUAGAAGAAGAGGGAGUGGGCUGCGACAGGUGGUAUCAGAGCACGGUUCUAGGACACAUCCCUUAAAUACGAAGCUUAGGAUUACACAAAACCUUGUAUUUAUAGUGGAACUUAGAAUGAGUAUAGUAGAACGUAAUGGGAACCCUCUCCUGUCCCUCAAGUAUCCGGGAGUUAAAAAUAGUGAGACCAAUGAGAGAGCCUACAUACGAGGUCCAAAAGAUAGGACUGAAUAAAAUCUUGAAGGACUCAUACGUAUAGUGAAUGACUUAGGUGAGAUAUUUUAGAUACCAUGGAAUUUUUAAGGAUCUAAGGAAUAAUGAAUCUAGGGAUGAGUGUUUUGAGAAGUGAAGAGGAGUUCUAUAUGAUUGAACCAUGAGAUUUAAAAGAGUUUCCCUCACCAAAGAAAUUACCAAGUGAGACAAGUAUAUGCCUUUGUGGUUAGAGAUUGAACAAAGCUUGAUAUGUUGAGAGAUAAAAGCUUAUGAGAAAACAUUUUAUUGAUAGCAUUGAGGUCAAACAUUGUUAUGACUUGAAAGAGUGAAUGUUACAAAUCUUGAGAUCAUGUGAAUAAAACUUUUGUUUUGGAGGAUAUGAGCUAUUUUUGUUGAUCAAAGAAAGACUAACUACUAGGAAAGAAUGUUGUUAUCCCAUUACUAAGUACUAGUUCAAAUUAUGAAAGUGUACAAUACUAAGGAUUACCCUCCCAUUCAAGUAGAGAAUAAGUCGAGAACCUAAGAUGAGGUAUAUUAUCACCCAUUUGAGAAUUAUAAGCAAACCAUAUUCCUAAAAGUAGUUUCUCGAACAAAGUGAAAUGACACCAUUGAACCUUUGGGGUGAGAAUAGAUAAGUAUUACUGGAUAAAACAACCAGUAGUGUGACAACUAUCAAGACUAGUUUCCCAUUUCUAAGUUGAAGCAGAUGAUUUACAUUUAAUUUAGCUUAGGUUUUAAUGUUUACAACUAGAAAAAAAUAAGCUAAUAUGAGGAGCUUGCACAAGUUUGCUUUGAUUUUAGGCUUAAAGUUACAGAUUUUAUUAGACAAAAGAACUGAAAAAUUAAGCCCUUCCAAAUGGACAAUACUACCUAGUCUCAGCUUUACGAGGGGUCAUUCAUUAUUUGUGAUUUCACACUGCCUUUACGCUUCCAAAUGUAUAGGAAUGUGGUCCUCAAUUCACCCUUAAGUUAGUAAGCCUGCAGCAUGGAACAUUUAACACCAAAGGUGGUGAGUACGAAUGGGUCCACAAGCCUGAAAUGGACACUAGCAGAAAGAGAUUUUUCUUAUGACUUGAUAUAGACAGAAACUGGAUAACUUCCAGGAUGACCACUUCGACAGAAGUAAUGAAAGGGGCAGCUGAUCGGAUCCAACGUUUCUUCUACUUGCCAUCUGACACAUUUGCAAAACACCAUGUGAAUAUCUUGCAACCCCCAUUUGAGUUUUAAUGUUGCUUGAUUUUCUGAAUUCAGGAAUUGCUACCCAUUUUUGCUCUUUACUAUUUCUCCUUGUAGAUCCCUUUUAAUCCUUUUUCUUUCUUUUUUUUUUUUGUUUUUUGAAUGAUUUGGAAGAAGUUGUUUGGUUUUGUGUGUCUCUUGAGAUGCUUGUGAAUUUUGGUAAAAUGGAAAA